rnacentral:rRNA from 1 species
UACGUAGGGGGCAAGCGUUGUCCGGAUUUAUUGGGCGUAAAGAGCGUGUAGGCGGUUAGAUAGGUCUGCUGUGAAAACUCCAGGCUCAACCUGGAGACGUCGGUGGAAACCAUCUAACUAGAGUCCGGAAGAGGAGAGUGGAAUUCCUGGUGUAGCGGUGAAAUGCGCAGAUAUCAGGAGGAACACCGGUGGCGAAGGCGGGUCUCUGGGCCGAUACUGACGCUGAGGAGCGAAAGCGUGGGGAGCGAACAGG